CCGGCUGCUCGCUUUUUAUCACUUCUCCCUUCUCGAAACACAGACGAACACCUUUCUUUUAUUACUCUCCUGUCCCCCUCCCUCUCUCAUCAACCAUCACCUCCGUCCCGUCCGCCUCCCAUUCGCUCAAACCGGAAGGAGGAGGAGGGCGAAUUAAAGCCUCGCCUCCCGCCCCCGCCCCCGCCCCCGCCCCCCACCGCGUCGCCGGCGCCGAUGGCCGACGGCGGGGCCGGCGCGUACCGGGAGUUCAAGGCGCUGGCGGAGGCGGCGGACCGCAAGUUCGCGCGCGCGCGGGACCUGCCGCUCUACGGCGGCGGGGACCACCACAGCCGGAAGGCGUUCAAGGCCUACACGCGGCUCUGGCGCCUGCAGCAGGAGCGCCGCCGGGAGCUCGUCGCCGCCGGCCUCCGCCGCUGGGAGAUCGGCGAGGUGGCCUCCCGGAUCGGCCAGCUCUACUACGCGCGCUACCUCCGCGCCGCCGAGCCGCGCUCGCUCGUCGGCGCCUACGUCUUCUACGAGGCCAUAUACAGCCGCGGCUACUUCGGCGCGGCCGCGGCAGCGGUGGGGACGGACGGCGGCGGCGGCGGCGUCAGCCGCCACCAGGCGCUCCUGAUCCGGUACAAGGAGCUUCGGUUCAUCGCGCGGUUCCUCGUCGUGGCCAUGCUGAUGCGGCGGGCCGAGGCGGUGGACCACCUCGCCGCACGCCUACGUGCGCUCGUCGAGGAGACCAAGGCUGCGUACCCCAAAACAAACUUCAAGGAAUGGAAGCAAGUACUUCAAGAACUUGGCAGAUUUUUGAAGGCUGAUGGAGCAUAUAAAGGAUCUAGAUCACUAAGAUAUGACAACUUAUUUGAUUCUUAUCCAUCGAACCUUGUAUCUAUUGCACGAUUCCAUUCAAAAAGGGUGCUCAAACUGAAGGAAGCUGUGCUAACAAGCUACCGCAGAAAUGAGAUCAAGUUCACAGAACUAACUUUGGAUACAUUCAGAAUGCUACAGUGUUUAGAGUGGGAACCCACUGGGUCUUAUCAGAUUGCUGCUAAAGAACUUACAGAAAAUGGCACUGUAAGUGAUCAGAGUGGACCCUCUGGUCUGAUUGAUAUUCAACUGUCAACAGAAAUAUCUGAUGGAAGUCUUCCUUCAAAUCCUCAAAAGGCAAUCAUAUAUCAUCCUACAGCCGCUCAUCUUUUAGCAGUUCUAGCAACAAUUUGUGAAGAGCUCUCUCAAGAUAGCAUUUUACUCAUCUAUAUAUCAGCGUCAGGGUCUGCUGAGCAGAGUUUUGCUAGUCAAAAGUUUGGCUCUAGCUCAUCUCGUGCGAGGGCUGCCUCUGCCUUCCCCACUGAUAAGCCAAACUCGCAUAACAGUUCUGAUAAUCAUCUAUGGCUUGGCCCCCGUGGAAGUGGAGGUCCAAACAAUCUUUAUCCAGAUGAUCUAAUUCCAUUUACAAGAUAUCCACUGUUCCUUGUAAUUGAUAGUGAAAAUAGCCAUGCAUUCAAGGCAGGUCAUACAUAAUUCAGAGAAGGGAGAACCAGCUGCUUUAUUACUUUCUCCCAGGACAUCAUCAGCCAUGCCUGGAGUAGAAUCCACGGCUCACGGAAGCCAGUUUACAUACUUCCUCACUGCUCCAAUGCAAGCCUUCUGCCAACUAGCGGGAAUAACUUCUGACAUAGACACUGAUACAUACGCAAAUGCAGAGAACAUACUUUUCUCUGCUUUGGAAGAAUAUGAAGGAAUACUCUGCACUUCUGUUGGAUUAAACAAUGUCUGGGGGCAAAUUUUACCAGACCCAUUUCUCAGACGGCUGAUUCUCAGGUUUAUUUUCUGCCGGGCAGUGCUUUUCUAUUUCCACUCAGAUGAGCACGAAUAUCUACCGACCUGCUUACCUAGUCUUCCAGAGUCAGUCUCCCCGCAUGCAGAGGCCAUAAGAACUCCUAUCCUUUCGCUUGCAGAAAACCUUGUCGUCAGCGACCGGUUUGACUUCCGAGACUCCACACGCAACAAGAAAUGAUGACCAGCAGCAAUAACCAUAACUCAUGCCUUCUGUAGAUACCUCUGUGGUAAAUAUAGUCCAGCGAUUUGUUGAUUGUUUUGCAUUUAUACAGCCAACGGAGCAAUUAGUCAGCACCAAUUAGCAGCGGCAUCCGCGCCUGGAUGGUGUGAAUUGAAUGGCGAUAUGAAGAAUUUUGACCUGUCUCCGUUGAGCGUCUGUACAAGUUUGUUUAGGUGUUCUCUAAUUUGCUCUAGGCACUGUAGGCAUGUAGCCUUGUCGUCGAUUUUUUUUCUAUUUUGUUGUCUUGGAGAGGACGGUUUGUAAGCUGGAAGAGGCGUUUUUAAAGUACUCUAGAAGGCAGAUUGUUUUGUAGAGUUUGGUUAACUCACCAUAUUUGACGGCAGUUUACGGUUUUCCAAUUUUCGUAGCGCUA